GAAAAUCUUAUAAAGGGAUGGUAUCUUGGACUGUGAGUUGAGUCAAAUCUGGAAUUGAGGCACCAGCUAGUGAGGAAAUAAUGAAUGUAAUGAUUGUGGGAAGGCCUUCUGCUGGAAGACAGACCUCAUUUGACAUCAGAUGAUCCAUACUGUGAAAGAUCCUAAGAAUGUAAUGACUAUGGGAAGACUUUCUGCCUGACUACAGCUCUUAAUUUACAUUGAAGAAUUUCAUAUUGGAGGAAAAUCUUAUUAGUGUAAUGAAUUUGUAAAGGCUUUGUCCUUCAAAGGAACCUUUAAAAAUCAAAAGAUUCAUACCCGGACCAAAACCUUCAAACCCAAUGGUGUGGAAGCUUUGCUUAUGAAGAGACACCUCACUUGACAUUAGAAUAUUCUCACUAGAGAUAAACCUUGGCAAGGUGUUCUGCCACAGUACGGUCAUCAAUCUGGAGAGAAGCCUUACAAAAUUGAUAGGAGAUAUCCAAUGGAUGCGUUCAGUGUUAGGAUUGACUACCUCUCAGUUAUAACCAUUAUGUGACAUUUUAAGGGGAGACAGUGUUUUAAACUCACCACGCUAGCUUACAAAAGAAGCUCAAGAGACUUUGAGAGAAGUUGAAGUGUGUGGUUGAAAGUCACUCCAAUAUCCUUAGAAAUAGCAGUUUUUACUACACAAGAGGCACCCACAGCAGUCCUUCAUCAAACAGACACUGUGAUAGAGUGGGUGAACCUCCCAACCUAACCAAAACAAACUGUUACUCUUUACCCAGUGCUUGUGACUAGAAUUUUAUUAAAGGCCAUUAAGCAAGCAGUAUAAGUAUCUGGGAUAAGACCUGACAAGAUAUACACCUUUUAUACUAAUGCACAAAUUAAUGUAUGCUGUGAAACCAUCCCAGAGUGGCAAAUUUUAUUAGCCACAGCUCUGAAUUUUACACACAGGUCUCCAUUAAAGACAACCAGACUGUUACAUAAUUGACAAUGGAUUCUAGAAGAAAAGGUUUCUGAAGUUCCUCUUAAAGGACCAACUCGCUUUAAAGAUGUAUCCAAACAUAAUAUUUGUACUAUAUAUUCUCAUGACUUAACUAUAAAGAGAGUAUUCAGAACUCCUUUUCAGUCCACUCAGCAGAAUGAAUUGUAUGCAAUCAUUGUAGCUAGCUCUUACUUAUUACCCAGGAGAUAUAAAUAUAAUAUUUG
rnacentral:lncRNA from 1 species